GCUGGGCGUGGUGGUACGCAUCUGUAGUCCCAGCUACUUGGGAGGCUGAGGCAGGAGAAUCACUUGAACCUGGGAGACUCAGGUCGCAGUGAGCUGAGAGCGAGAUUCCAUCUAAAAACAAAAUUAGCCAGGUGUGAUGGCAUAUGCCUGUAGUCCCAGCUACUUGAAGACUGACACAGGAGUAUCCUUUGAGCCCAGGAGGUCAAGGUUACAGUGAACUGUGAUCGUACCACUGCAGUCUGGCCUGGAUGACAGAGUGAUAUCCUGUCUUU
rnacentral:sRNA from 1 species